CUACAGGCUUAACACAUGCAAGUCGAGGGGCAGCAUGGUCUUAGCUUGCUAAGGCCGAUGGCGACCGGCGCACGGGUGAGUAACACGUAUCCAACCUGCCGUCUACUCUUGGACAGCCUUCUGAAAGGAAGAUUAAUACAAGAUGGCAUCAUGAGUCCGCAUGUUCACAUGAUUAAAGGUAUUCCGGUAGACGAUGGGGAUGCGUUCCAUUAGAUAGUAGGCGGGGUAACGGCCCACCUAGUCUUCGAUGGAUAGGGGUUCUGAGAGGAAGGUCCCCCACAUUGGAACUGAGACACGGUCCAAACUCCUACGGGAGGCAGCAGUGAGGAAUAUUGGUCAAUGGGCGAGAGCCUGAACCAGCCAAGUAGCGUGAAGGAUGACUGCCCUAUGGGUUGUAAACUUCUUUUAUAAAGGAAUAAAGUCGGGUAUGGAUACCCGUUUGCAUGUACUUUAUGAAUAAGGAUCGGCUAACUCCGUGCCAGCAGCCGCGGUAAUACGGAGGAUCCGAGCGUUAUCCGGAUUUAUUGGGUUUAAAGGGAGCGUAGAUGGAUGUUUAAGUCAGUUGUGAAAGUUUGCGGCUCAACCGUAAAAUUGCAGUUGAUACUGGAUAUCUUGAGUGCAGUUGAGGCAGGCGGAAUUCGUGGUGUAGCGGUGAAAUGCUUAGAUAUCACGAAGAACUCCGAUUGCGAAGGCAGCCUGCUAAGCUGCAACUGACAUUGAGGCUCGAAAGUGUGGGUAUCAAACAGGAUUAGAUACCCUGGUAGUCCACACGGUAAACGAUGAAUACUCGCUGUUUGCGAUAUACUGCAAGCGGCCAAGCGAAAGCGUUAAGUAUUCCACCUGGGGAGUACGCCGGCAACGGUGAAACUCAAAGGAAUUGACGGGGGCCCGCACAAGCGGAGGAACAUGUGGUUUAAUUCGAUGAUACGCGAGGAACCUUACCCGGGCUUAAAUUGCAGAUGAAUUACGGUGAAAGCCGUAAGCCGCAAGGCAUCUGUGAAGGUGCUGCAUGGUCGUCGUCAGCUCGUGCCGUGAGGCGUCGGCUUAAGUGCCAUAACGAGCGCAACCCUUGUUGUCAGUUACUAACAGGUUCCGCUGAGGACUCUGACAAGACUGCCAUCGUAAGAUGUGAGGAAGGUGGGGAUGACGUCAAAUCAGCACGGCCCUUACGUCCGGGGCUACACACGUGUUACAAUGGGGGGUACAGAGGGCCGCUACCACGCGAGUGGAUGCCAAUCCCCAAAACCUCUCUCAGUUCGGACUGGAGUCUGCAACCCGACUCCACGAAGCUGGAUUCGCUAGUAAUCGCGCAUCAGCCACGGCGCGGUGAAUACGUUCCCGGGCCUUGUACACACCGCCCGUCAAGCCAUGGGAGCCGGGGGUACCUGAAGUGCGUAACCGCGAGGAGCGCCCUAGGGUAAAACUGGUGACUGG
rnacentral:rRNA from 1 species